rnacentral:rRNA from 1 species
UAAAAGAAUAUAAUUUUUAGUACCUCCUGCUCAAUGAUUUUAAAUAGCCGCAGUCUUCUGUGCUAAGGUAGCAUAAUCAUUUGCCUAAUAAUUAUAGGAUGGAAUGAAAGGCGAUACAUGUUAUCUUCUUUAUUAAGCAGGUUAAUUAAAAUUAAUAUUUAAGUAAAAAUUCUUAAAUUAUUAGGGGGACGACAAGACCCUGACGAACUUCACUCUAUGUUUAGCUGGGGCGGCAGAUAAAUAAAACCUUUCCUUCACUCUUUAUCACCCAACCCCAUAAGUCGAUUCUUAAGUUACCGCAGGGAUAACAGCAUAAUACUCUCCUGAAGACCUUAUACAAGAGAUUGUUUGUGACCUCGAUGUUGAAUUAAAAAUCUUUUAGAGGCAGCACUCUAAUAAGAGAGUCUGUUCGACUCUUAAAAAUUU